CCGGAAUCGUCAGAUGAGUGAACUCCCUCUGGAUAGCCUGGAAGCAGCUGAGCUUCAUCCCGAGCUUGUCCCAUGAAGGUAACUCGUUUGCAGCGAGCGUUAGCUACAUUUAGCGAGCAAACACGCUCCUUCAAUGCUUGUUACAUCCAUCCAUCCAUCCAUUUUCUGAGCCGCUUCUCCUCACUAGGGUCGCGGGCGCGCUGGAGCCAAUCCCAUCUGUCAUCAGGCAGGAGGCGGGGUACACCCUGAACUGGUUGCCAGCCAAUCGCAGGGCACAUACAAACAAACAACCAUCCGCACUCACAUUCACACCUACGGGCAAUUUAGAGUCUCCAAUUCAUGCAUGUUUUUGGGAUGUGGGAAGAAACCGGAGUGCCCGGAGAAAACCCACGCAGGCACGGGGAGAACAUGCAAACUCCACACAGGCGGGGCCGGGGAUUGAACCCGGGUCCUCAGAACUGUGAGGCUGACACUCUAACCAGUCGGCUACCGUGCCGCUCCUUGUUACGUAAAAACAUAAUUUAGUCCCACUAAUUCACAUUACAAUGUAACAUCUGUUACCAGUAUUGAUUAGAAUUUUCCACUUACAGCUCAUCCAUCUUGCAGGAAUUCAAGACACGGGAGUCGAACGUCUUUUAGGAUUGCGACGAAGAAAAGUUAUGCCUCCAGCAGACGUUCGACUCCCAUUCCAGUACACAAUGCAGACAAAAAAGGUUGUGCUUCGAGCAGAAGUAGGGACUGGUUUCAGGGAGAAUGAGAACCACACAAAAUUCCAUUCACCACCACCAAAGAAUAAAAUCCAGAUGUGGAUAAAUCUAGAUUUUAUGCACAAGGUAAUAAAAACCUGGACUAUUGAGCAAACGGUAGAGGAGGAGAAUUUGGAGGGAAAAAGUGCAAGUGUGGGAGCCCCAUUUGUUCAUGCAUGUAAAUUAUGUACAUAGUUAUACUUGUAAUUUUUUUUAUCUGUCAAAAGUACUUUGUCAGUGUUGUUUUAUGUUCAGAUGUUUGGGAUUUACACUAAAGAAAAAAAAUAUUGCCGUCAAAGUCAUUG